CCUUCAUAAUUAAUUAUCCUACCUACUACAUCCAUCCAGAGAAAAAAAAAGUAUAGAAAGAUGAAUAUAAAAUAUUCCUUCAAAUUAAGCCUCCGCCUGUUUGGUUUAUCCAACUACUAACUAUUUCUUUCGAGUAAAAUGCUGUUGGCUCAAAAGAUGUUCAAAGAGUUCGAAUUUGGGCAUCGAAAGAGAUAAACUAAUGAAGUUGUGUAAAUAAUGUUUUGCGUAAAGACAAUAUUACUAUCCUCUAGGCAUUUGUAUAGUUUAUUCAAAGCAUUAAUCCCCUUUCUUUUAAUUUCCUGAAGAAGUAGAUGCAUCGGAGCUUCUAUUUUAAUAUGGGUUUGUGAAGUUGCAGCUUUCUUUGAAGUUAUAUGAAGUUGCAGAAAAAUAGAAACCUUUUCGAAGAAAGAAAACUGCAAUUAUAUUUCAUCUCCAUAAUGAGAAUACUGAAGGCAGUGUGGCUAUUGAAAGUUCAAAGGCUGCUGAUGAAGCUGCUGAAAUUGUUCUUAGUAAAUUAUUCUAGUAUCAAAGGUUCACUGCAUAGUAUUCACUGAAUGAAUUGCACAGACUUGAUAUUGGCACUACCAUGGAAGAGGCACCGAUCAUAGCUUCUCCUUGAUAUGCAUGUAUAAUGAAAUUGGAAUGACUUCAUUUUUCAUAGGCUAAUGAUCUUUUUCUCUAUGUAUGUUCUUGGUUCUAAACAUUUGUUUCCUUUGUUGUAACAAUGUUUCCAUAAAGGUUCUCUCAUCAGCAGGGAUGCGCUCAAUAACAUUUCAUCCGGAUGGAAGAAUUGGACAUGAAGAUGCCUUAAAGGUAAAGGAUUGUGAAAGAUAAUAUAAUGUAGCACUUGAAUAAGGAUAAAAAGAGUCAUUUAAAAGUGUCAAAAUGAUAUAUUGUUGGUGUAUUCAUGGGAGACUGUUAUCUGUUAUGAUUCUGUUGAUGUGAGAUGGACAACACUUGGUGAUCUCUAUAUUAAUGCGAAACAUUUGGGAUGCUCAUACUACCAAAACUUUGUUGGAGUCGGGUAGCAAACAUAUCGGUAGGAUUAUCUUUUGUCAAGCUGUUAUUUUUAGUGGCAAUUUUGUGAGUUUUUAGGUACCAAUUUUUUUUAUUUUCAAUAGAGAU